UACGUAGGGUGCGAGCGUUGUCCGGAAUUACUGGGCGUAAAGAGCUCGUAGGUGGUUUGUCGCGUUGUUCGUGAAAACUCACAGCUUAACUGUGGGCGUGCGGGCGAUACGGGCAGACUGGAGUACUGCAGGGGAGACUGGAAUUCCUGGUGUAGCAGUGAAAUGCGCAGAUAUCAGGAGGAACACCGAUGGCGAAGGCAGGUCACUGGGCCGCAACUGACGCUGAGGAGCGAAAGCAUGGGGAGCGAACAGG
rnacentral:rRNA from 1 species